AAUACGUGUAAUUUUGCACUGUUCAUAUUUAACGUUUGACCGUUUAUCUUAUUUGAAAUUUUUUUAUGAUUAAUAUUUUUAUUGUUAUUAGAUGAUAAAACAUCAAUAGUACUUUAUGUGCGUGUGUUCAUAGGGGUGAGCGUGCGUUGUGAGUGUCUGCGUAGUACUGUGUAAUUCUAAAAAAAAAAAAGUACUUUAUGUGUGACAUUUUUUUAAUUUUUUUCAUAAAUUUUUAAAUAAGAUGGACGGUCAAAGAUCAGACGUGGAUUUUCAUAGCUGCACUUAUU
rnacentral:pre_miRNA from 1 species